UCGCAAGAUUAAAACUCAAAGGAAAUUGACGGGGACCCGCACAAGCGGUGGAUGAUGUGGAUUAAUUCGAUGCAACGCGAAAAACCUUACCUACCCUUGACAUGCCACUAACGAAGCAGAGAUGCAUUAGGUGCUCGAAAGAGAAAGUGGACACAGGUGCUGCAUGGCUGUCGUCAGCUCGUGUCGUGAGAUGUUGGGUUAAGUCCCGCAACGAGCGCAACCCUUGUCUCUAGUUGCUACGAAAGGGCACUCUAGAGAGACUGCCGGUGACAAACCGGAGGAAGGUGGGGAUGACGUCAAGUCCUCAUGGCCCUUAUGGGUAGGGCUUCACACGUCAUACAAUGGUGCAUACAGAGGGUUGCCAAGCCGCGAGGUGGAGCUAAUCCCAGAAAAUGCAUCGUAGUCCGGAUCGUAGUCUGCAACUCGACUACGUGAAGCUGGAAUCGCUAGUAAUCGCGGAUCAGCAUGCCGCGGUGAA
rnacentral:rRNA from 1 species